GAUGAAGAACGUAGCGAAAUGCGAUACUUGGUGUGAAUUGCAGAAUCCCGUGAACCAUCGAGUCUUUGAACGCAAGUUGCGCCCGAAGCCACUAGGCCGAGGGCACGCCUGCCUGGGCGUCACACGCCGUUGCCCCCCCGUCUACUCCUUCGGGAUUGCGGGGGGGCGGAUGAUGGCCUCCUGUGCGCCUAGCCGCGCGGUUGGCAUAAAUACCAAGUCCUCGGCGACGCACGCCACGACAAUCGGUGGUUGCGAAACCUCGGUUGCCCGUCGUGUGCGUUCGUCGCGCAUCGAGGGCUCGAAAAAAUGCUCGGCUCCGGCUGGGCUUUCAACGCGACCCCAGGUCAGGCGGGGUUACCCGCUGAAUUUAAGCAUAUCAAUAAGCGGAGGA
rnacentral:misc_RNA from 1 species